UUUCUCCAGCCUCUAACCCUGAGAUCUCCAUGGAAACUAGGUUUUGUUCAAUCAGCGCAGAUGUAGAGACGAAGAGAGAGACACAGAAGUCGGGUUGAAUUUAGGAAACCUCGACGCGAGGCUCCAGAGCGACAGAGGAGAACUGACCUUUACAUGAACAGUAGCAGCAGAUAAGCAGUGAACAUGCACAUUCAUCCGCUGGCGUCACACACUGCUGAAAUGUCCCUGCUGCAAAUAUCAGACAUUCCUGAUGAGGACAAACUGUUUUUAACAAGCAGCUGGAGCAACGGGAGCGGAGCUGCAACGCUCAUGUGCGUUAAAGAGGCACGUACAGAUGUUUAAAUGUGAAGCACUGAGAAUCAGAGCAGCUGUGAUGAGAGGCCGAUGCAGGCAGAUGUGAACGAUAAGAUGACGGAGACCAGAGGUGGUCACAUGACUUGACCCUGAGGCAGACGAGUCACGAAUCGGAGGACGCUAGACUCGCUGACAUCACUGAUUCAAGACUCGACACUAAUGAGGAUAGCUUGCUGAGAUUUUUACUUUUUACAGCUUCCAACGUGUCGAGUUCCCAAAACUCUGGUUUCUGUGUGAACGUGUAAAACGGAGCUUUUGGGAAACAACUCUGAUAUUUUACGAAUCUUUGAUGCAAACUUUAUCGCCACCUACUGGCCCGGCACGCUCGUUUGCAAACACGUUAGUGGAAACUGAAUUCCUGAACUCUCUGCUCCGACUCACCUUGCAUGCAAAACUUCAGCUCCUUGGCGUCUGUGACGGUGCUGGACGGCAUCCGCUCAGGAACCUUCUUGCUCAUGCGGUUGUAGUGCCUCCUCUUCUUCGUCUCGCCCCACAGGUUGGAGCCGCCGUGCAUGCUGGGAAUGUUGAGCACGCCGAUGCCCUCUAAGGAGGUGUUGCUGAGGUCCAGGAUGAUCCCGUCGCACUGAGCGGAAGUGAGAGGACACAAAGAGCGAGGGUUGAUCUUUUAAGGUUCUGGUGCGUUAUCUACAACCGACCGUGUGCGUUUGUUUCCACGGCUACCACGCGAUCGCUGGAGAAACAUCGGAACCAGUGACAUCAGCAGUUAUGGGAGGAGCUACUGCAAGAAGCGUUACGCCAUUUCCAGAUGAGACGACUGGAAAACUUUACAGUUUAGUUUUUAUUCUUCUGUUGUUGGUGUUUAUUUCCUGUUUUUAUCUAAAUGAUUGUUUUUUAACAGCAGCU